GGUCACAUUGCCCCUCUAACUGCAAGGAAGGCUAGAAAUUUGAUCAGGCUUCUUCAUUAUGAUUCAGUACCUGGAGCUGGACACAUUGUUGCCUGGAGCAAAACUGGAGUUCUGAUAGCCAGGUAAAAAGAGAAAUGACUUUGGGGUAGGAAAUCAACAGUGAUGGUCACAGAGGCCAGGGAAGAUGGCCCUGACUAAGAUGCUGGCAUUGGACACAGAGAUAUUUAAGAGGUGGAAGUUACAGAACUUGGUGAUGGGAUGUGAGGAAUGAAGGAGGGGAAGGAGAAAAGGAUGAUUUCCAGGUUUGAGCUUGGGCAGCCAACAGAUUGUGAUGUCAUCUACUACAACAGAAAAUAUGAAGAAGAAACACAGGUGUGAGGAAGAUGAAAAGUCCACUUUUAAACAUUAGAUCCAGCAGUUAUCUUGCAACCAUGAGGAGAAUGGCCACACACUAAGGAGGAUGGAACAGGAAGGUAGAAAGAACCCGGUACCUUGAUGCCCUUGAGCAGCUGCACCUGCCCUGGCGUGCCUACCCUCAGACUUCCUGUUGCAUUGGAAGAAAGGAAGGGAGGGAGGGAGGAAGGAAGAAAACAACUGUCUCAGUUAAGCUAUGGCCUGUAAGGGUUCUGUUACUCGUAAGCAGGAGCCUGGCUUGUGCACCCCCGGGGCCUGCGGGGCCUCCCUUCCUUCCCAGGUGCCCUCCCCUGACAGCUGUGGGUAUCAGCCUCCUGUCGAAGUUUGGCACGAAAGCAGGUUUUGCGUUAGAAGUCUCAGAGGAGCCUCUUUUUGGGAAGGAGUAGUGAAGACAAGAGAGAACAGAGAGACACACGGAGUAGCAGAAGGAGCAGCUGGCUGGGGUUGAUUGAUCUGGUCCUGGCCCUCAGCCUGCCACUAACCAGCUCUGUGACCUCUCUGGGCCUCAGUCUACAGAACAAAGGAUUUGAGCUGGAGCAGUGUUUCUCAACUUCAUAACCAUCAAAAAGAAGGACCUCGUAUUUCUUUUAAGAUUUUUCUCUGCCAGACUGCAUUUAUCAAAUAAUUCAUAUUUCCAUGAGAAUACUGUGUUGAUACAAUUCCGGCCAAAAGCAAAGAAAAAUAACUUUUUAAUUUAGCCUUGUUAGUCUUACCAUAGGAUGAAACUUCCAUUAGUUCUUUGGAAAAAUUGGAAAUGUUUCUCGGGUCCACAUGAUUAUCUUGAGGACUUGUUGUGCCCUAGGGCUUUCCUACAAGAGUGCUGGCCUAGGAGUUCACUGGGGUCCAGUUCUGCUUUCCGUGAUGCCGGAGCCUGUGCCCCUUAGGAGCCAGUGGAGGUGCAUUUUCCCUCCUGCCCCCAGGCCCAGUGCCAAUUCCCAGUGCCAGGAGCUCGCUUCCCUCGUGAAAAACAAGCCUGUCGGAAUGGCACCUUCCUGCUGACCUGAGGGCACCUCAUUCACCCUCCUGCCUGCUAUCCCUCCUCACAGGCCCUUUCCCCCAUCCCACCUCCCCCCCAUCCCAGGAGGGAGUUGUCUCACCUAAGCCUUCAUCUCCAUGAGCCUGCUCUGCGGCCUUCUGACCUGAGAGACCUGGAGACGCUUUCAGCCAGUCAGAGGAGGAAGCCUGGUCAUCUCCCUCAGGCAGCUCCAUCGCCUGGUGAAGAGGGAAGGGCAGAGGCUCCCAACCCAGCUGAUAAAUGCUGUCACAGAGGGUCCAAUCUGCUGCUGGAGCCCUGAACGGUCAGCUCUGCUUGGAAGUGCGAAAGGUCAGAGAGAGGAGGGAAGAUCUGAGUCAGGGCCUGAAGGAUGAAGGGAGAAGCCUUUGAAGACCAGAGCCCCAGGAAGGGCGUGCACUGUCCUGAAGGAGCUCACAGAUUAGUGGAGAGAGAAACAUGGAGAACUUGUAGCCUCUGGUCCUGCAUUAGGGGAAGCACCUUCAAGGAGACACACCCUAGACUCCAGAGCAGCAGCUGACAACCCCUGAUGACACGAGGCAGCGUGCCACCAAACCACAGAGCAGCCUCAAUAGGUCCUAGCCCCAGGCCCCUCUUAUAUCUGACGUUUGCCCCGUCUUGGUUGAAGAGCAGCCCUGAGUCUUCUGUCCGCUCUGGAAGCUGUGGAAUUUUCCCGCCUGGAGGCUGGAGACUGGAGCAGCCCUUCUCCUGCCCCGCCCAUGCUCUCCAAGCCAAACCAGCAAAUUGGCAGAGAAAACUAACCAAGAUCUAUUUGAGGAAUGGGAAACUUGGGAAAGAAGAUGCUUCUAGAAUUUCUUCCCCAUGCUCUAGUCUGGGCAGGUUGCUCCCGGGAGGGUUGGGCUGUGGGUUGCCACUGUUAGAAUCUAAUAGGAGCUGCCUUCCUCUCGCUCCCGGCCCUGCCUAGUUAUUUGCAAGCCUGCUUGUUAGGGAAAUUCAAUUCCCCCUGGAACCCACCACCUGGAAAAACACCUCGCAGCACACAUAGUGAACAACGAGUGCAUUAACGGGGGAGGAGGAGACGGUGGCAGGCACUGGACCAAGGCGCCAUCAGUUCUGGAGGCUAGUGAAGUCUUCCAGCUGAACCGAAGCAUGUUGUUGUGCCUGGCCGGGAGGACAGCCGCACUCGCCUGGCGUCUGAAUGUGCCCCUCCACUCCCCGCUCUCCAGAGUCCGGGGGCACCGUGGAAUGAAUGCGCCAUUGCUUCACCAGGCUUCCAGGUUUGGCUCUCUUUGCAGGCCUUUGCUAAGUGCCAGGGUCGCCUUCAAGUUCAGCUCCCUCCGUGAACAGAGCCCAGUAGGUGCUUGGAGAGCAGGGGGAGAAGGAUGAGAACUCCCAGGAUACACAGGCUCUGUCCGGGGAGCUCUCAGCCUGAUGGAGACCCACCUGCCCUCAGGAAGUAAAGGCAGAGAGAGUCCCACAGGAGGGAGGCUCUGUAUUGCACGCAGUCGAGCAUGAACAUCAAAGCCAUCCCCGUCUGCUGUGAGGAGACCACCUCCAAGGUGAGGAAACUAAGGCACAGAAAAGCUGAGUAACUUGCCCAAGGCUCCACGGUCAUUAAGGGGUCGAGCCAGAUUUUAAACCAGAGUCUGUACUCUCAGGCACCUCCAUAAGAGACCAGGAUGUGGAAGCUUCUGGGAGUCCUUCUCUGGAUCCACAGAAGGCGUGCUCUCUAAGCAGGCUACUUCCUGGGGAGGCUCAGAGGAGGGAGCCAGCCAGGGACAGGGGAGAGAACGUGGACCUCCAACACCAAGGACAAACGUCUGCGUCUGCGAGAGAUGACUUGUGACCCCGGACAAGUAAUCUCUGUAUCCUAGUCUCGGCUUCCCAUCCUGAGGGGGGUCCCCCUUCCUGCAGCCCGCUAAGGAUUGAGGGCAGAGCCUGGAAUUAUGACAACACCUUCUCUAAGUG
ensembl:lncRNA